UGGCGACCGGCGCACGGGUGAGUAACACGUAUCCAACCUGCCGAUAACUCGGGGAUAGCCUUUCGAAAGAAAGAUUAAUAUCCGAUAGGAUAUCAAGGUCGCAUGAUCUUGAUAUUAAAGAAUUUCGGUUAUCGAUGGGGGAUGCGUUCCAUUAGUUAGUUGGCGGGGUAACGGCCCACCAAGACGACGAUGGAUAGGGGGUUCUGAGAGGAAGGUACCCCCACAUUGGAACUGAGACACGGUCCAAACUCCUACGGAAGGCAGCAG
rnacentral:rRNA from 1 species